GACGAACGCUGGCGGCGUGCUUAACACAUGCAAGUCGAACGGAAAGGCCCUGCUUUUGUGGGGUGCUCGAGUGGCGAACGGGUGAGUAACACGUGAGUAACCUGCCCUUGACUUUGGGAUAACUUCAGGAAACUGGGGCUAAUACCGGAUAGGAGCUCCUGCUGCAUGGUGGGGGUUGGAAAGUUUCGGCGGUUGGGGUUGGACUCGCGGCUUAUCAGCUUGUUGGUGGGGUAGUGGCUUACCAAGGCUUUGACGGGUAGCCGGCCUGAGAGGGUGACCGGCCACAUUGGGACUGAGAUACGGCCCAGACUCCUACGGGAGGCAGCAGUGGGGAAUAUUACACAAUGGGCGGAAGCCUGAUGCAGCAACGCCGCGUGCGGGAUGACGGGCUUCGGGUUGUAAACCGCUUCCGCCUGUGACGAAGCGUGAGUGACGGUAAUGGGUAAAGAAGCACCGGCUAACUACGUG
rnacentral:rRNA from 1 species